AGAGCAGAGAAGAGGGAGUCGAUCAGAGAGAGAGAAACAGUAGGUGGACGAUUGGAGAUCUGCUGUGGUUGAGCUGAACACAAGCUGACUCACAACCAUCGCUCAUUUUUGUGCAGAAAUGUGUGAAUUAAGCACCAUUUUCUCUCCGAAUUUGGGAUUCACUCCCUCUUGACCUUCAUUUGCUUCCCUCUGCAUCCCUUUCACCUCCAUCGCUGGACCUUCCGAACCCUGCAGGCGAGAGACGUGAAUUCGGUUCACACUUUCCCUCCGUGCACUCAUUAUUGGUUCACAUUCAGCCGCUGUGCACAGUCGGAGCAGCUCUCAUUUUCUCCCAGUAAUGCUGCCGUAUUCAUUCGGGCCCUGUGGUUGUUAGUUACUUGAUGAGCAGCACUCCCGCGCGUCACCCAGGGGAAAUUUAACCACCUCACAUUGAUUUUCAAGGCCUUCAAUCAACUGACCUUAGAAAUAUCUCCAGCAUCCUCGUGAGCGCUCUGAACACACACCGGGUGUCUCUUUUCUCUGUCUUGGUGUCUGUCAGAGUUUAACCAGCGCAGACAGCCACUCAAAUGACGCAGUUGGAUCACUUGGUUGCAUAAACUUCACCUUCACAUCCUCUUCAUCCUUGUCAGCGGUGAAUCCAGCCACCACUUGCCGUCAAAUACACAGACUGCGAUGUUCGAGAGGCCUCCAUCUGAUGAUAUCUGUUGGUGUCAAUAGCACAUGUUAUCUUCUAUGUAUGUCUAUAUAAGAUGGUACAAAUGUAACCCGCCUAAAGAAGGGUUAAAUAACCAUUUUCAUUCAUUUCUGAUCAUUAGUUGUUUCCCCCUUACACUUAUAAGUGCUGUGGGUUUUAUUUUGAAACUGGAACUUUAUUUUGGGUGAGACAGGAAGUAGUGCGCUAAAAUAUUCGACAUGGCUUAACAUCGCUAAUUCACGGACUGAACGCUGCUUCUGUUUCUGCCGCGAGAGUUGAAAACGAGAGAAAAAGAGGUUGGAGAACCGCCGAAGACGCACUUUUGAUUGUCCUGCCCUCUCCAAAUGAACACCGCCUUCUUGGUCAGGUCUUAUUUGAUGCCUGGAAAAUGUGAAGCUCCAGUCCAUGUGUCCAACAAGGCUGACCAGCGAUCCAGUUGAUGGCGAGCCUCCCAGUCGAGCUUUGAGUCUCCACCACACCAUCCAGCGGAUUCUGUGGUAAGAUUGUAUCAGUCCCACUGACCAACACCAACGAGAGUCUACUUGGAUACUUUUCCUUGACUUUGACUACUCCCUUGACUUCUUGACUUGAACUUUGAUUGGAUCAACAACGAACCAGUUCCACAGGAAUAACUUCAAAUGGACAUUUUAUGUUUUUUUCUCAGUUUAUUGGGCUCAUAGGUAUUAUAUUGUAAUGAUGUUGUGUACUGUUUAAAUAGUUUCUAACACUAAAAGUUCACAAUAACAACAUAUACCUGUGUCCAGUGGUUAUUGCUAUUACUCCUAGCUCCUACGAACCUAGGUAACAAUGUGUACAUACUCAGAAGUGGGUUACACAAACUUGACAUUAG